CGGGGCGUAGCUCAGCCCGGAUAGAGCGCACGGUUCGGGUCCGUGAGGCCAGCGGUUCAAAUCCGCUCGCCCCGACUA
rnacentral:tRNA from 1 species